rnacentral:rRNA from 1 species
AUUGAACGCUGGCGGCAUGCCCUACACAUGCAAGUCGAACGGCAGCACGGGAGCAAUCCUGGUGGCGAGUGGCGAACGGGUGAGUAAAGUAUCGGAACGUGCCCAGUCGUGGGGGAUAACGUAGCGAAAGUUACGCUAAUACCGCAUACGAUCUAUGGAUGAAAGCGGGGGAUCGCAAGACCUCGCGCGAUUGGAGCGGCCGAUAUCAGAUUAGGUAGUUGGUGGGGUAAAGGCUCACCAAGCCGACGAUCUGUAGCUGGUCUGAGAGGACGAGCAGCCACAGUGGGACUGAGACACGGCCCAGACUCCUACGGGAGGCAGCAGUGGGGAAUUUUGGACAAUGGGCGAAAGCCUGAUCCAGCCAUGCCGCGUGCAGGAUGAAGGCCUUCGGGUUGUAAACUGCUUUUGUACGGAACGAAAAGGUUUGGCCUAAUAAGCUGAGCUCAUGACGGUACCGUAAGAAUAAGCACCGGCUAACUCUGUGCCAGCAGCCGCCGUAA